UACAGAGGGGGCAAGCGUUGUUCGGAAUUACUGGGCGUAAAGGGCGCGUAGGCGGCCUUCUAAGUCGAACGUGAAAUCCCUGGGCUCAACCCAGGAACUGCGUCCGAUACUGGAAGGCUUGAAUCCGGGAGAGGGAUGCGGAAUUCCAGGCGUAGCGGUGAAAUGCGUAGAUAUCUGGAGGAACACCGGUGGCGAAGGCGGCUUCCUGGACCGACACUGACGCUGAGGCGCGAAAGCUAGGGGAGCAAACGGG
rnacentral:rRNA from 1 species